rnacentral:lncRNA from 1 species
UGAAAGGAGGUGCUAAGUCAAAGAAAAGAUGUAAUUUACAGUUGUAAUAUUUUUAAAAAGGAUGGGUGUCCGUGCAACUCAGAGCAAAAUGUUUGCGAUGUUUUUCUCUGCAUCCUCACCUCUCAUCGGAACACCAAACCAGCGAGCAGAUUCUGCCUCGUAUUAAGUAUCCGCCCGGUGUUAAAAGUUCUUGAUUGUGCAUAAACCAAGGCUGCUACGGGGCGAUUUCCUCUGACCUGAAACAGUCCACCCCAGAGGGGGGAGGAAACUUCCCGUAGCUCAGAACCUUACAAGAUACACCCAGGCACCUCUGGUGCCCAUAAGCAGUGCGCAGUUGCUGGGGAACCGGAGACUCUACUGGAGCAACCUGAAGUUGUGCGGGGAACGGUUACCUUUCUCUUUUCCCCAUAUUUUAACGAGACUCCAUCCUGUGGACUGGCUAUAGAGGGUAGAGGGGUCAUGACUGCCGCCCACCACCAGCAGGCAGGCAAUCCUGCAGAACCCUGAGCUCCACUUUUGGUCACCACCUCCCCCUGCUGUCCGUCUGAGAUCCUGCAGCUUGGCAUGAAGAUGAAACAGACUGUGUUUGCUAUUCUGAACUAGAGCCGGGACCGAGCCUUUGUAGUUCACAACUACCUGUCCUAGUAAGAGUUUAGAUUGCAGGAGAUGGAAGGCUCUCUAAUUAAAGUUUUUAUUACGGGAUAUUGAA